UGACGGAGCAACGCCGCGUGAGUGAUGAAGGUUUUCGGAUCGUAAAGCUCUGUUGUUAGGGAAGAACAAGUACCGUUCGAAUAGGGCGGUACCUUGACGGUACCUAACCAGAAAGCCACGGCUAACUACGUGCCAGCAGCCGCGGUAAUACGUAGGUGGCAAGCGUUGUCCGGAAUUAUUGGGCGUAAAGGGCUCGCAGGCGGUUUCUUAAGUCUGAUGUGAAAGCCCCCGGCUCAACCGGGGAGGGUCAUUGGAAACUGGGGAACUUGAGUGCAGAAGAGGAGAGUGGAAUUCCACGUGUAGCGGUGAAAUGCGUAGAGAUGUGGAGGAACACCAGUGGCGAAGGCGACUCUCUGGUCUGUAACUGACGCUGAGGAGCGAAAGCGUGGGGAGCGAACAGGAUUAGAUACCCUGGUAGUCCACGCCGUAAACGAUGAGUGCUAAGUGUUAGGGGGUUUCCGCCCCUUAGUGCUGCAGCUAACGCAUUAAGCACUCCGCCUGGGGAGUACGGUCGCAAGACUGAAACUCAAAGGAAUUGACGGGGGCCCGCACAAGCGGUGGAGCAUGUGGUUUAAUUCGAAGCAACGCGAAGAACCUUACCAGGUCUUGACAUCCUCUGACAAUCCUAGAGAUAGGACGUCCCCUUCGGGGGCAGAGUGACAGGUGGUGCAUGGUUGUCGUCAGCUCGUGUCGUGAGAUGUUGGGUUAAGUCCCGCAACGAGCGCAACCCUUGAUCUUAGUUGCCAGCAUUCAGUUGGGCACU
rnacentral:rRNA from 1 species